GGAUUAGAUACCCUGGUAGUCCUUGCUGUAAACGAUGCAUACUUGGUGUAGUUGGGCUCAACCCCGACUGUGCUGUAGCUAACGCGUUAAGUAUGCCACCUGGGGAGUAUGCCCGCAAGGGUGAAACCUAAAAGAAUUGACGGGGGCCCGCACAAGCAGUGGAGCAUGUGGUUUAAUUCGAUGCAACGCGAAGAACCUUACCCAGGCUUGACAUGUAAAGGAAUAUACUAGAAAUGGUAUAGCCCGCAAGGGUCUUUACACAGGUGCUGCAUGGCUGUCGUCAGCUCGUGCCG
rnacentral:rRNA from 1 species